UUUAAACGUAAAUGUUUUGCUGAGUUAGUAUUAGUUAUGUUCUUGAAAAUUAAAGAAUUUGGCGGUAUUUUAGUCCACUCAGAGGAACCUGUUUUUUAAUUGAUAUUCCACGAUUUAAUUUACUUAUUUUGAAUGGUUUGUAUAUCGUCGUAACUUGAAUAUUUCUUAAGAAUUUUAAUAUUCAGAAUUCAGGAAAAUGAAUAAAAUCAGAUCAAGAUGCAGCUUAUAAGUAAGAAAUGAUGGGUUACAAUAAAUUUAUUUAUACGGAUUUUUACUUUAAAAUUAAAAUUAAGGUGGAUUUGAUAGUAAUUUUAUAUUUAUAUUUAAGAUGAUUUUGGCUCUGAAAUAUGC
rnacentral:rRNA from 1 species